UGCGUAGGCGGUCCUGCAAGUUGGGUGUGAAAUCCCUCGGCUUAACCGAGGAACUGCGCCCAAAACUGCAGGGCUAGAGGGAGACAGAGGUGAGCGGAACUUAGGGUGGAGCGGUGAAAUGCGUUGAUAUCCUAAGGAACACCUGUGGCGAAAGCGGCUCACUGGGUCUUUUCUGACGCUGAGGCACGAAAGCUAGGGGAGCGAACAGGAUUAGAUACCCUGGUAGUCC
rnacentral:rRNA from 1 species